AGGGGAGAGGAAGAAACUUUACGGCCUUUUUAUUGGCCGGUUCUUUUUCUGUGUGUCCCAUACAGGCCCUCACCAUGAAGGGUUUCACAGCCACUCUCUUCCUCUGGACUCUGAUUUUUCCCAGCUGCAGGAGAGGUGGCGGUGGGAAAGCUUGGCCCACACACAUGGUCUGCAGUGACAGCGGCUUGGAAGUGCUCUACCAGAGUUGCGAUCCAUUACAAGAUUUUGGCUUUUCUGUUGAAAAGUGUUCCAAGCAAUUAAAAUCAAAUAUCAACAUUAGAUUUGGAAUUAUUCUGAGAGAGGACAUCAAAGAGCUAUUUCUUGACCUAGCUCUCAUGUCUCAAGGCUCAUCUGUUUUGAAUUUCUCCUAUCCCAUCUGUGAGGUGGCUCUGCCCAAGUUUUCUUUCUGUGGAAGAAGGAAAGGAGAGCAGAUUUACUAUGCUGGGCCUGUCAAUAAUCCUGAAUUUACUAUUCCUCAGGUAAGAUAUUACUUAAUUCUUGUAUUAAAUAGUUUGUUUCUUGAAGAAGAAGAAGGCUAGAAGAAGGAGGAGGGAAAGGAGGAGAAAGCAAGAAAGAAGAGGAGGAGAAGGAAAGAAUUAAACAGUUUAAAACUUAUCCAUAGGCCAUCCCUGCAAAAACCCUUUCUUCAUAAAACUGCUGCUUCAGAGUGGGCACUUGAAAUUUCUUGACACACAGGCUUUGUCAUUUUGGCAUUUAAUAUUUUACAUGUCAGUGAACCUUAGGGAAUCCUCCGAGUACAAACCUCCCACUGAGAGGGAUGCCAGCGUCUUGUCCAGCAGGAUUACGGCAUUUGUGGGGUUCCAUAUGGCAGUGCUGCUGGGCUGUAUGGGCGGCACCAUGCAUGCGCUGGGACCGAGCUCAGGAGGCUGGCGGUUCAGAGAAAGGAAGACGCACAAGCCAUGAAGGCGUGAAGGUCCUCCAGUUACUGUCCUUUCACUGUUACUCAUGAGCUGCCAUUAAGUCAAUAAAAUGCCCACAUCCUUAGCAUUUGCUGGCAAAGCUCACAGCUAAGAGUAGAAUUUUCCACUAAUUCCUUUCUGUUCAAGAUAAUGUGACAUUAUUAAAUGGCUCAAUUUACAUCACUCUGCUAUAAGCAAUAAAUGUUCAAUAUGCUACCCCUCAGAUAAUUUUUUUUUUUUUGAGACAGAGUCUUGUUCUGUCUCCCAGGCUGGAUGAGCCGAGAUCACACCACUGCACUCCAGCCUGUGCAACAGAGGAAGACUCCAUCUCAAAAAAAAAAAAGAAAAAAUGUUGACCAGAUAAGUAAAAAAAAUUAUUUUAAUCACCUACAGUGCAUGAAGGAAGUGCAGAACCUAAGUUCUUCAACUGCUGAUGGUACUCAAGCAAAUAUUGCCAAGUGUGAGGGCAUCGCAUAUACAGCACAGAGAGCUGGAGGCCUUAAUCCCAAAAUGGGCUCCGUACACUGGCUGCAGGUCAGCCGUGACUGGCCCGCAAUGCACAGAGGCUUUGCUUUCUUAAUAUGGAACAGACACAGUUCAAAAACUUUCGUUUGCAAAAGACCUACCCCAUAUCUCCUCCUCCAGCUAAAUCCUCCAGAGAUGGGCUCUGGGCUAAUGGCAGUUCCCAUGUGGCCAAAAACGCUCCCACUCAGCGAUCAUUCUCCAGGGUCUUGGUAUUAUUUCCCUCUGAACUCAUCUAACCCCUUGGCCCGGAUUGAAGCCCUCCCUGGUGUCCUCUGUCUAUGCCUCCAGUUUUCUGAAUGAGAAUUUAGGGGAUCCUUUGGGCUCCCGAAGCAUGUGGACAACAACUCGUAGGCACAGCCUGACCCAUGUAUUGCCAAAGAUGCACCUACAAAUCCCUAACUUACAAACUCUGUGCCCUCCUCAACAGCAGAAACGCUGCACUCAGUCCUUCCCUACUCUGGCCUCCCGACACACACCUCCACCUGCCUCCAGCCUGGCACGCUUGCCUAAAUACUCUUAUCUCUUAUACCAGAGUCUGUGAUAUCUGUAAUUCAUGAUCUAGAACCCCUUCCUUCAAAUACAACAGCUCCUCUUAGACUCAUAAUGUAGUAAUGAAAAAUUCAUGUGGUGUUCAAUACAUUUGUAGGUGUGUAUCUAAAUGCACAUAGAGAUUUUAAAGAAAAGUACAUGAGGAGGAGGAGAAGGAUGAAACACAACGAGAUAUAAAUUUGAGCCGGUCUUUACUCAUAAUUAAUUCUCUAACAUUUGGACUGCUUUGGUUAUAUUCCUAACACUGUUUCUAAAAUUACAGCUGCUCAAUAUUUGAGGAGUAUGACUCAUGGGAGCCUCUAGAAUCAUGGAAUCACACCCAAGGCACCAUCCAGAGCACAGCCUGGUUCUCUUGAAUACAAUUUCAGUGUUGGGGACUCCACUCUCUUUGCAAGCUCUGCUCAUUGCUAGAAAGUUGCUCCCUUCUAACAAAAGCCACCUCUCAUGCAGCUUCUCUCUGGUGGUCUCACCUACUCCUUCCCUUUUGCUUUAUACAGAUUAAACUCUUUCCUCCUUUGGGUGACAGGCAGCUCAAAGAUAUGUCAGCAGUCUCCUGGCCUCCUCUGCCACAGUCCCUCUGCUCUGCUUGUGACCCUCCCACCACCCCAGAGCAUUUUCCUCUCCAGAUUCGUGUCUACAAACACAUCACCGCUCUGUGGCUGCUGGGGUGCAGGACUGGGGCGCUGGCAGCAAACAAAACCGGAAUGGCUCUUCUACAGUCCUCAUAGGACCUGGCUGCCAGGUGGCUUCUGCGAAGCUGACUGCAAAGGAAGGGAGACCUCCUCACAGCGUUGCUGCCAGCAAGGACCCCCAAAGGCAGCCAUUCUUUCUGUGACGGUGCAUUUUGGUUUUGUGCUGGUGAACUGUGCUCCCCGGGGUCUUCUCUGUCUCAGCAUACAAACCUUUCUCCCUCCAGUUCUCAGGCCAGGAGCCUUGGAGUCACCUUUAACCCAUCUCUUCCUCUCCCACCCACUUGUGUUUCCUCAGCGGAUCCUAUCGGCUAUUCUUUGAAAAUCUCUCUGGCACCCAAAGCCUUCCCCCAUCUCCACCUCUACUCCAAGUCAUCUUCAUCUCUCACCUGGAUUCCUGCAAUCGCCUCCCACCUGGGCUUUUCAGUGAGGCAGCCAGAGGGAUCUUACUGACACAGGCGCCAGGGCAGGCCACCCUCUCCUGACCCCAGUCCCUUUCAGAGUGGAAGCUGAUGUCCCCACCACGGCCUUUGAGGCCCUAAGAGUCUGGCCUUCUGUGUCGCCUUGACCUCACCCCCCAUCCCCCCCUCUCCCUGAAGCCCCACUGGCCUCCUUCUGCCCCUCUAAGGUGGGGGCCCCAGCCCAUAGCAGCACUGCACCUUCUUGCAUCUGCUUCAGGUCUUUGUCUAAAGGUAGUCAUCUCAGCAGGGCCUCCUUUCACCACCCUGCUCAAAAUUGCAGACCAGCACUCGCCUUGACCAACCCAGUGCUUCCGUCCACUCCCUUCCUGCAUGAGUUUUCUUCAUGACAUGAGCACCUGACACACCAUACAUAGUCACAUAUCAUAAGGGUGGUCUGUCUCUCCCAGAGAUGCUGUAAGCUCCGCAGGGCAGGGGUUGGCUUCUCUUGUUCUAAUGUUAUCCGCAAUGUCCAGAACAGCACCCAGCACAUAGAAGGUUCUCUGUAAAUAUUUGUUAAAUGGUUAAUUGUACUGUGGGUCACAAGUCUAAUACUUGACCUGUGCCCCUUGCAGGGAGAAUACCAGGUUUUGCUGGAACUGUAUACUGAAAAACGGACCACCGUGGCCUGCGCCAAUGCUACUAUCAUGUGCUUCUGACCGUGGCCUGUAGCAAAAAUCACAGCCAGCUUCAUCUCGUGGGACCUCCAAGCUCCUCUGACUGAACCUACUGUGGGAGGAGAAGCAGCCGAUGACAGAGAGAGGCUCUACAAAGCAGCUCCCCCAAAGACUACAGCUGCUAAUUUUAGUCCCAGGACCAGAUAUCCCCAGACUCCACAGAUGUAAUGAUGUCCACAAUGUAUCUGUUUCUAAGGAGCCUCUUGGCAGUCCUUAAGCAGUCUUGAGGGUCCAUCCUUUUUCUCUAACUGGUCGCCUCCCACCAGACUCACCUGCUUUUCAGCUUUUUAGGAGUGCUUCCUCACAGUUACCAAGAAUAAAGAAAGCUGGCCACCA